UCUAUUUAGGUUUAGGAUCUUAAAAGGUUAGACAUGGAGCCUAUGCAUCCAACUCUCAUUUGCAGCCUGGUUAGUGCAAUAUCUUAUUUUGAAAGAAUGGUUCUUUUUUUCAGUGGAAAACAUGGCCCUAAUUUGUAUCACCCAUCUGCUGAAGGUAUUAGACUCAAUAGUAUAAAUGUGCCUUCUAAAAUUGAUAAAAUGUGAGCUACUUAGUAAUUUAAAGAAGGUAUCAUUUUGUUCCCACAGUUAUUUGCUAAUGGGCUUUACUUUGCCAGUCUAUGCUCUUCACAUUUGAUGUUGUAAGAGAUGUUAAAGAGGGAAUUUAUGAAUGAAUGGGAUUAAGACGCACCAGAAAUUCAAAUUGUUUGUGAAAGCCAAGCAUCCCCUGUCUGUCUGCCAAAUACAUUGAUUAGGAUUUUCUAAUACUGCGCCUGAGGAGGCUCAAGUCGAUCCAAUUACCUUUGGCUGCCGUCAUUAACUUGAAGGACCCUCCAGCCCUUCUCCAUUGUCUCCAGCAUUAAGAUCAGGAUGAGAAACAAUGGUCGCUCCAUCGCUAGGCGAUCCAAAUGAGGGAAUGCUGCCUGUAUGGUAAUAACCCUCAUCUACAGUUGCUCCACCUCAAUGCACAGUGGUUGACAGAGUGUUUCUCUACAGUCUCAGCUUGUCAUGGCUGCUGGCUGAGUGAGUGGGCCUCGAUCCCAGGCAAGACUACGUUUUAAAACCUUAAACCUGUCAGUUACGGUAAAGUCUGUUUUAGACCUUUGAGAAAAUAGAUUUUGACAUUUAGUGUGUGACUGGAUUGGCUGAAAAAAGCCAGUGCCAAUUUUUUUUCAGUUGUACCACAUGAACACUGUUGAGUCAUCUGCUCCGUCGAGGAGCCAAAACAAGCCUUGAGAUCUGGGUUCCACCUGCUGAAUGUGACAGUUGUAAGUCGAUGAAAAACAAUAAGCUGUGCUUUCUUGGAAUAUCCAUGUUUAUGAGAGCACUAAAUAUUCCUCCAAGAUGUUGUAAUGAAAAGGAUUUGGACGUCAUACCGAAGUUGGAGUGAUCAUGGUACAAGAGGUAACACUUCACCAUGAAACUUGUUUGGAGCCUGAGUUACCGGGUUUUGCCACAACAUGGUUAUCGGGAAAGGAAGGGUCACAUCUGCGGUCUAUGUGUGAUUGACAAGUCGAACCUAACAAUGCUGCAUGAUCCAAAACCACAAACCCACACACAAGCACACACUCACACAACACUACACUUACACACCCUAGCACACACACACACACGCACAGAGAACUGCCUCCCAGGAAAUCCGCCGCAGAUGGAUAGGAUAACAUCAAGUCUACUUCCCCCUGUGACAGAGAGCAGAGAGUGGAAGGACUAGGAACCAACCCAAACAGGAUUAGAAGCGAGGAGAUGGAGAUCUAGCCCUGAGUCAGGGACACAAACACUCUCCAGGGGAGCUGUUUGUGUUCGUCCUGUCCUGCUCUGUCUCAAGGAGCGACCUGUAGAUCGCCAUCAGGCCGCGGGUCGGGCUGCUCGCAGCAGCGGCACCACUCUGCACAGCCAUGUCCGGCUCUGUCGCCUCGCCUGUUUGUGGCACGUUGGCAACAAUCCCACGGAUGUUGUCACAUGGCUACAUGUGGGAAACCUUGGAGACCUGUUCCUGCUCUAGGUUCACAGUGUUCCAGUUGUUAUUAAAUAACAUUUAAUCCAAUUCAAUGCAA